UACGUAGGGUGCGAGCGUUAAUCGGAAUUACUGGGCGUAAAGCGUGCGCAGGCGGUUUGCUAAGACCGAUGUGAAAUCCCCGGGCUUAACCUGGGAACUGCAUUGGUGACUGGCAGGCUAGAGUAUGGCAGAGGGGGGUAGAAUUCCACGUGUAGCAGUGAAAUGCGUAGAGAUGUGGAGGAAUACCGAUGGCGAAGGCAGGCCCCCUGGGCCAAUACGUGACGCUCAUGCACGAAAGCGUGGGGAGCAAACAGG
rnacentral:rRNA from 1 species